UACGUAGGGUGCAAGCGUUAAUCGGAAUUACUGGGCGUAAAGCGUGCGCAGGCGGCUUUGCAAGACAGAUGUGAAAUCCCCGGGCUUAACCUGGGAACUGCAUUUGUGACUGCAUGGCUGGAGUGCGGCAGAGGGGGAUGGAAUUCCACGUGUAGCAGUGAAAUGCGUAGAUAUCUGGAGGAACACCGGUGGCGAAGGCGGCAUCCUGGACCGGUAUUGACGCUGAGGAGCGAAAGCCAGGGGAGCAAACGGG
rnacentral:rRNA from 1 species